GUGAUGGUAGCAAUGGCGGUUCAUGCACUUGUCUGAAGCACAAGCCAUGUUGGUUCGACUCCAACUCAUCACACCA
rnacentral:tRNA from 1 species